rnacentral:rRNA from 1 species
GAUGAACGCUGGCGGCGUGCCUAAUACAUGCAAGUCGAACGAAACUUCUUUAUCACCGAGUGCUUGCACUCACCGAUAAAGAGUUGAGUGGCGAACGGGUGAGUAACACGUGGGCAACCUGCCCAAAAGAGGGGGAUAACACUUGGAAACAGGUGCUAAUACCGCAUAACCAUAGUUACCGCAUGGUAACUAUGUAAAAGGUGGCUAUGCUACCGCUUUUGGAUGGGCCCGCGGCGCAUUAGCUAGUUGGUGAGGUAAAGGCUUACCAAGGCAAUGAUGCGUAGCCGAACUGAGAGGUUGAUCGGCCACAUUGGGACUGAGACACGGCCCAAACUCCUACGGGAGGCAGCAGUAGGGAAUCUUCCACAAUGGGCGAAAGCCUGAUGGAGCAACGCCGCGUGGGUGAAGAAGGUCUUCGGAUCGUAAAACCCUGUUGUUAGAGAAGAAAGUGCGUGAGAGUAACUGUUCACGUUUCGACGGUAUCUAACCAGAAAGCCACGGCUAACUACGUGCCAGCAGCCGCGGUAAUACUUAGGUGGCAAGCGUUAUCCGGAUUUAUUGGGCGUAAAGGGAACGCAGGCGGUCUUUUAGUCUGAUGUGAAAGCCUUCGGCUUAACCGGAGUAGUGCAUUGGAAACUGGGAGACUUGAGUGCAGAAGAGGAGAGUGGAACUCCAUGUGUAGCGGUGAAAUGCGUAGAUAUAUGGAAGAACACCAGUGGCGAAAGCGGCUCUCUGGUCUGUAACUGACGCUGAGGUUCGAAAGCGUGGGUAGCAAACAGGAUUAGAUACCCUGGUAGUCCACGCCGUAAACGAUGAAUGCUAAGUGUUGGAGGGUUUCCGCCCUUCAGUGCUGCAGCUAACGCAAUAAGCAUUCCGCCUGGGGAGUACGACCGCAAGGUUGAAACUCAAAGGAAUUGACGGGGGCCCGCACAAGCGGUGGAGCAUGUGGUUUAAUUCGAAGCAACGCGAAGAACCUUACCAGGUCUUGACAUCUUCUGACAAUCCUAGAGAUAGGACUUUCCCUUCGGGGACAGAAUGACAGGUGGUGCAUGGUUGUCGUCAGCUCGUGUCGUGAGAUGUUGGGUUAAGUCCCGCAACGAGCGCAACCCUUAUUGUUAGUUGCCAGCAUUAAGUUGGGCACUCUAGCAAGACUGCCGGUGACAAACCGGAGGAAGGUGGGGAUGACGUCAAAUCAUCAUGCCCCUUAUGACCUGGGCUACACACGUGCUACAAUGGACGGUACAACGAGUCGCAAGACCGCGAGGUUUAGCAAAUCUCUUAAAGCCGUUCUCAGUUCGGAUUGUAGGCUGCAACUCGCCUACAUGAAGUCGGAAUCGCUAGUAAUCGCGGAUCAGCAUGCCGCGGUGAAUACGUUCCCGGGCCU